GGCCAGUUAGCUCAGUCAGUUGAGCAUAGCGCUAACAACGCCAAGGUCGCAGGUUCGAUUCCUGUUCGGUCCC
rnacentral:tRNA from 1 species